UUUAGAAUUUUAAAACAAAGGUAAAAAGAAAAAAGAAAAUAAAAACUAACGGAAAAAAACUAAAAAUCGAAACAAAAUAAAUAAAAAGAAACUUGAAUACCUGCAUAAAAAGAAAGAAGCAAAAAAAGAAAGAAAAAAUUAUAACAAUAACAUACAAAAAUUAUAGUAAAAAAUUAGCGUGAGACCCAUCUCUGAGACAAGGAACCGGGUAGCAACAUUGCUACCUCAAUUUUUUGCUACCCCAUUUUUUAAGACCUCCACUAUGAUACUAUCCUCUAACUACCCCAUUACUACCUAGCUUAGUGGAAGCCCUUAUUUUGCUACAUUAUUCUCCUC
rnacentral:lncRNA from 1 species